CAGCAGCCGCGGGAAUACGGAGGGUGCGAGCGUUAAUCGGAAUAACUGGGCGUAAAGGGCACGCAGGCGGUGACUUAAGUGAGGUGUGAAAGCCCCGGGCUUAACCUGGGAAUUGCAUUUCAUACUGGGUCGCUAGAGUACUUUAGGGAGGGGUAGAAUUCCACGUGUAGCGGUGAAAUGCGUAGAGAUGUGGAGGAAUACCGAAGGCGAAGGCAGCCCCUUGGGAAUGUACUGACGCUCAUGUGCGAAAGCGUGGGGAGCAAACAGGAUUAGAUACCCCCGUAGCCCUGUCUCUUAUACA
rnacentral:rRNA from 1 species